rnacentral:rRNA from 1 species
GACGAACGCUGGCGGUGUGCUUCACACAUGCAAGUCGAACGAGGUAGCAAUACCUAGUGGCGGACGGGUGAGUAACGCGUGGGAAUCUGCCCAAGGGUGGGGAUAACUAGCCGAAAGGUUAGCUAAUACCGCAUAUGCCGUGAGGUAAAGGAGAAAUCCGCCCCUGGAUGAGCCUGCGUCCGAUUAGCUAGUUGGUAGGGUAAAGGCCUACCAGGGCUACGAUCGGUAGCUGGUCUGAGAGGAUGAUCAGCCACAAUGGGACUGAGACACGGCCCAUACUCCUACGGGAGGCAGCAGUGGGGAAUUUUACACAAUGGGGGGAAACCCGUGAUGUAGCGACACCGCGUGAACGAAGAAGCCCUUUGGGGUGUAAAGUUCUGUCGGCUGGAACGAAAAAAAUAGACGGUACCAGCAAAAGGAAGCAUCGGCUAACUACGUGCCAGCAGCCGCGGGUUAAAU